GGUUGUGCUGGAGGUUUUGAAGAGUCAGACUUUGGCCCCAGGUCUCCUGCCUGACAGCUGCGUAAACCUAGAGCCUUGUCUCACAGAGCCCCUCUUCCCACAGCAUUAAAGUGGAGAUGACAGAGUCCCUCCUGGAGAGCCAGUCUAGCCGUUUAGUGAGUCAGCAGCACAGCUCCUCCAGCACGCAGAGAACAGCGGUCCAUGGAGGGAGGGCGUGAGCCUGGGGUUUUACUGAGGAAGGAUAGUGGGUUUUUCAGUCCCUGAAGCUGCUGCUCUGCCCACUCAGGAAGGUGAGGAAGGCAGACGACAGCGUACAUCUAGCCUCUGCUCUGCCAGGGUUGUUGAUGCCCUUUGGAAUGGAGAGCUGUGAAGGGGAAUGCCUAGGCCUCACAGAGGAGGCUCGUGACCCGGACAGGUGUGGGACUAGGGGCCAUGUCUGUAGCUCCCCUGCUACGGAGCAGAAUCUGCCUCUCCAUAAGCGUAAGCUCUGGGGACUGACAUCCACGCUGGGCCUGGCUCCUGCCUCCCGCCUCCUGCCCAGCCCCUGCCAGCCGCACAUGGUGGAGACCGG
rnacentral:lncRNA from 1 species